GGCUGGUCUGAAGGUAGUGAGUUAUUUCAAUUGAUUGUUCACAGUCAGUUACAGAUCAAAGCCCUUGUUCUACUCUUUCCCCCUUCUCACUACUGCACUUGACUAGUCUUAA
rnacentral:Y_RNA from 1 species